UUUUAAUUUUUUAAUUUUGGGUUGAAUUCUCCUUUAAUGUUACAGCACUUACAUAUUGGGUAGUAUCUACGCUGUCCAGCCCUCAGCAUUCCAACAUACAGUUUUACUACUACUUCAGCCCCUACCCUGCACUAGCAUAGGACUAACCACCCAAAACGACAGUUUUUUUUUUAUUAUAUAGCCACCCCUUAAAGCUGAUGCCCUAGACAAAGUCCCUUGGAUACCUAAUAUAGAAAAUUCUCUGCCAGGGAUGAAAUGCAGUUGCUUUGGAUUAUAAGGCUUGUGUUCAAAAGUGCAAGAAUUCAGGCUUUUCUACUGGAACGUAAUGGUUCGGUGGAUGUCAAAUUGUUAUGGCUGUUUCCCGUAACAAAGGCCAAAUGUUCUGCGUUUGGUUUAAAAAAAAGUUCUCGCUUUGUUUUAAGAAAUAGUCCAAACAGGCAGUUUAUCAGCGACUGUGUAUAACAGAUAGUCUUAAAAUGCAUCCCCAUCCUACAGAAAUGUUUGCAAUAUACUGAUUUAUCAUAUUGAAGAAAUUUAUGGGGCCAGUUAAAGAACUAGAACAGAUGUCAUUUUCCCAUUGAAAAAUAUGGAAAUUUCCAUCCAGAUGUUCUUUAAGGUUUAUAUAAGUACAUACUGUAUAAGGGCAGCUUAACUGAUGUGUGUGAAAUUCUCAACCCACACCUGACCCUAACCCUCCCACUCCGAACCCACACUAAGCCCGUCCCUGCGCUCCCCCACUGUUUAUAGACCCACGACUACACUGCAGUGACGUCACCAAGGGAGCGGGCGCCGGUCUACAAACAUCACUAGUAACCAUCUUGCUCUACUAUGACCACCUUGGCCUGUGUCUAUUAUCCUGAUCCCUCGCAUGGCAUGAAUGUAGCGUCUCGAUGUGGGUUUCAUUCAGCUGAAUUGAUUUCCAAGAGAUGGAUCAUUCUGCUGAGCUCUGCAGUCGGACAAGUCACAAGACAUUUUACAUUCAUGUUGAUGAGUGGGAGUUUUCGGGUCUUGGCUCUUUGCCCCGUUCCCCUUGGAUUUUUGCUGAAUUGGGUGCUUUGCUUUAGAAAACAAAUACUUCAUGUUUUCUGGGACCCAAUACAAGAAGGAAGUCUCAAGGGAAAUGUUCAAAUUGACCGAUAUAAGUCUAUUUCCUCUUUUUCUUUUAUCAACAUAUAAUUGGCCACUUUAUUGGAACACCAUAUUAAAAGCAGUCGUAGAAAGUCCAGGGCUCUGCUGAGCUUCCUUAUCUCAUUCACUUUCAUUAAUUAGCCAUAGGCAUCUCCAUGCAGCAAUACAGUGCCUCUACUUUUCUUUUCUCUUCUUGUCCACCUUUUCCACACCUUCUCCUCUCUUCUGACCUUGAUUCAAAAUUCCUUAGCUUCUUCUGCUGCCUUUACUGCAUCUUCCCUUUACUCUCCUGAAUAUUCUUCUGGAAUCUUCUUAUAUACUCAUGAACAUUUUUGGAUAAAAAAGAAGAAAGCAGUGGGGCAAUUGUAGGCGACAAAAUGUAAACCUGAUGGUCAGAUGUAGCCAACUGAACACCAGAUGAGCAGCCCCAAGGCUAUUUUAACCUCUUUGGUCCUAUGGGAAGCUGGUUCGGGUCCUCAGAGUUUAUCUAGAAUCCUUCCAUGAGGCAAGAGAGGGAUUUUGUUGUUUACCUAAAAGGAAAUAGCUACAAGAGUUGCAGGAAAUGGUUUACUCCAUCCACAGCAAAAAGUGCCAAUUAAUUUGAUUGAAUAUUUUUUUUUUACAUAACUAGACUGGUGCCAAAAAUAUUAUUCUUGAUGCAGGUAAACAGCUGCACACCAGGAAUAUUUUUCAAAUUUCAAAAAACUAAACUUUUAUAUCACCCUAAUAAUAUUGAUUCAUUUAAGGAACAUUAUUUUUGACAACGGGACAAAUUUAAAUACCGGUCAAAAUUCAUCUCGACGCAACUCCCAGAGGCCUCUCUGUUGAAGAACCCUCACUUCCUCCAAGGGACUUACAUACUCUGGACUUUCUUCUGCAACACCACCGAGAAUUCAACAGCCCAUGGGCAUGACUGGAACAGUAGCAGACAUGGAACGAUGGAAGCAGACAGGAAACAAGAUUAUUAUUUUAAGGCAAGAAGGGGACAUUAAAGAAACCAGUUUUUUUGCAAUUUACUUGUUGCCAAACAGGUUGCAUUACAAAGAUUUUUACAUGCAUAGAAUACAGUAUGAAAGAUGCAUCUGGCUGUGGAUGCAGUGCUUACUGCAUUCGGCAAUGCUACAUUUAGGGGGAAAUGGUGGUGGACAACAAGUGGACACCCCCUGUAUCACCCCUAGUUUGCUCAUGAACUGGUGGUGCAGGGCAAGUGGACUCCCCUGUAUCACCCCUAGUUUGCUCAUAAACUGGUGUGAAUAGCAAGUGGACAUCCCAGCAUCACACCUAACUUGCUCAUGAACUAGUGGUGGACAGCAAAUGGACAUCCCCUGUAUCACCCCUAGCUUGUUCACAAACUGGUGGUGGAGGGCAAGUGAACAUCCCCUGCAUCACCCUUAGCUUGCUCAUGAACUGCUGAUGGAUAGCAAGUGGACAUCCCUGCAUCACCCCUAGCUUGCUCAUUAACUGGUGGUGAACAGCAUGAGAACAUCAACUGCAUCACCCCUAGCUUGUUCACAAAUUGGUGGUGGAGAGCAAGUGGACAUUCCCUGUAUGACCCCUAGUUUGCUUAUGAACUGGUGUGAAUAGCAAGUGGACAUCCCAGCAUCACCCCUAACUUUCUCAUGAACUGGUGAUGGACAGCAAGUGGACAUCCCUGCAUUACCCCUAGCUUGCUCAUGAAUUCGAGGUGGAUAGCAAGUGGACAUCCCCGCAUCACACCUAACUUGCUCAUGAACUGGUGAUGGACAGCAAAUGUACACCCCCUGCAUGACCCCUAACUUGAUCAUCAUUCACUCAUGCAGGCUAAUGACGGCAGAAGGCCACAAGUCACAUCAAAUCCUAGAGGACUACUCAAUACUCUGCACCUUGGUUUGGAUUAAAAAUCUGCAGAAGGUACUGAUCACUGAUUGUGCUGCCUAUAACAUGUGUGUAAGCGUUCUAUGCAGGGACCAUAAUACAGGGACAAUUGCAUAUUAGGGAUUGAGAAAUGUCCCUAAACUUUUGGAAAUACCUGAAAAAUGAAUUCAUAAUAUUCACUUGCACCGUGGGACAUUUGUCAUGAACCUCCUGCUGCAACUCGAUGGCUGUUCUCUAAAAAGGUUCUACAAACUUUCCUCCCAUUGAGCUUGCAUGCAUCAUGUGAUUAAAUGCAGUCGUGAAGAUAAAACUCCAUGACAGACACCCUGCUCUACAUUACAAAGACCUGCAAAA